UGCUUGCAUUCACCGUAAGAAGUUGAGUGGCGGACGGGUGAGUAACACGUGGGUAACCUGCCUAAAAGAAGGGGAUAACACUUGGAAACAGGUGCUAAUACCGUAUAUCUCUAAGGAUCGCAUGAUCCUUAGAUGAAAGAUGGUUCUGCUAUCGCUUUUAGAUGGACCCGCGGCGUAUUAACUAGUUGGUGGGGUAACGGCCUACCAAGGUGAUGAUACGUAGCCGAACUGAGAGGUUGAUCGGCCACAUUGGGACUGAGACACGGCCCAAACUCCUACGGGAGGCAGCAGUAGGGAAUCUUCCACAAUGGACGCAAGUCUGAUGGAGCAACGCCGCGUGAGUGAAGAAGGUCUUCGGAUCGUAAAACUCUGUUGUUAGAGAAGAACACGAGUGAGAGUAACUGUUCAUUACGAUGACGGUAUCUAACCAGCAAGUCACGGCUAACUACGUGCCAGCAGCCGCGGUAAUACGUAGGUGGCAAGCGUUGUCCGGAUUUAUUGGGCGUAAAGGGAACGCAGGCGGUCUUUUAAGUCUUGAUGUGAAAGCCCUCCGGCUUUAACCGGGAG
rnacentral:rRNA from 2 species